rnacentral:rRNA from 1 species
AUAUUUAAGUCUAAUCUGCCCACUGAUUUACAAAUUAAAGGGCUGCAGUAUAUUGACUGUACAAAGGUAGCAUAAUAAUUAGUCUUUUAAUUGAAGACUUGUAUGAAAGAUUUGAUGAAAUAUAAACUGUCUCUAAAUUAAAAAUUGAAAUUAAUUUUUUUAUUAAAAAGUUAAAAUAAUUUAAAAAGACGAGAAGACCCUAUAGAGUUUUAUAAUUAUAAUUUUUUAAUAUUUAAUAUAUANAUAAUAAAUUUAAAUAAUUGUAAUUAUUUUAUUGGGGUGAUAGAAAAAWUAAAAUAACUUUUUUUUAAAAAAUAAACAUAAAUAAUUGAAUAAAUGAUCCAUAAAUUAUGAUUAUAAGAAAAAAUUACCUUAGGGAUAACAGCGUAAUUUUUUUUUUUAGUACAAAUAAAAAAAAAAGGUUGCGACCUCGAUGUUGGAUUAAGAUAAAAUUUAAAUGCAAAAGUUAAAAUUUUGAUCUGUUCGAUCAUAAAAUCUUCA